rnacentral:misc_RNA from 1 species
AAGAUUUUAUGGUGCUCUAAUCAGGUGUGUCUGCCCUGUUUGCUUAUGUAUUGAAUUCAGUAUAUGGAUCUUCAGUAGACCGUAUCUCUUAAUCUCAUUAUAUAUCAUAUUUUUAAUUACUCAUGUCUAUAACUGAAAAUACCAUAUCUUCAACAAUCUUACUGUUUUUUUUCUGACAAUCUGAUAGAUUGCAGCAAAACUGGAAAGUU